ensembl:lncRNA
GACCGCUCGGCGUCCGGUGAACCUAGUCGCCCCUACCUUUCCCAUCUCCUCCCCUACUUGCCCGCUGCCUGUGUCAGGACUGCCCACCGCUCCCCCGGCCCUGAGUUUGUCCCAUCGCGGCACUGGUGAAUCUGUGAUGGUCUCUUUCUGACCGUCUGGGCUGGACCUGCCGGGAAGGCAGAGGCCCAGCACCAGAUCUCCAAGACCAACUACUGUCCCAAAGCAGCGACCAUCAACAAAUGUUUAUUGUGCAUCAUCUAGGCGUCCGCGUCCAAAGCGCGGAGACUGGUAGCCCAGAGGAAGCUGGAUGCUGCAGAGGAAGCUGGAUGCUGCAGAGGAAGCUGGAUGCUGUGGAUGAAGCAGGGCGGUCAGGCCUGCAGGCAAAGCUGGCGCCGGAGUGAGCUGCGUAUCUCCAGGAAGGCCUUUCGGGGAGCAUCGCUUCUCGCUGUCAGGGCCCAGCACUUCCAGCUCACACACCCGCCUGUUGACCUGAGGGACCACACUCAGCCUGAGCCCAGGACCUUAGGUCCCGCAGGGCUCAACCUAGCACCCGCUGCAACCCUCCCUUGCUAUUCUAUAAGGCCUAAGCUUCAAUCACUACCUUGACAUCUUUGAGCCUCACAGGGCCCCAAAGGCCUAACACGAGUUCCCCGAUAUUGUCAGAAAAGCCCUGCAGCUCCGGGUGUGAUAACAUGUGCCUGUAAUCCCAGUACUUUGGGGGGCUGAGGCAGAAGGAUUACAAUUUUGAGCCCAACCUGGGCAAUUUACCAAUACCCUGUCUCAAUUUUUUUUGAGGGGGUGAUGGUUUGAGACCGGG